rnacentral:lncRNA from 1 species
GGACGGUCUCACAUCCAAAUUUACGGCUUAAUCUGAAAUUUUCAGUAAGCAUGAUAGCUUACUGCAUUAUACAAAGAUGUGUAAAAUCUAAUUUGUGAAUAAGAGGAAUCUCGGGGUCUGAACAUAAAACUGACGAAGGGAUAAGGUUAUCCUCUUCUUCUCUCCCGUGAGAUUCGUGAUUUGUUCCCCAAAUCCACUG